AUGAAACAUUGGGAUAAGAACUCUAUAGUUUGCAAAAUAAAUAUCAUAAAUCCAUAUUAUAUAAUUAAGUCAGGACCAAUAGAAGCUACUCCUAAAGAUAUCGAAGAGUUUAAAAUGCAUAUUGAAGAGUUAUUAAAGUUAAAAGCUAUAAGAGAAAGCAGAAGCCCUCAUCGGUCUGCUGCAUUCAUAGUCAGAAAUCACGCUGAAGAAGUAAGAGGUCUAAAGAAUGCACCUGCACUAUUUCAAAGAAAGAUGCAAAAUAUAUUUAAUGAGAAUCAAGCAUUUAUAUUGGUAUAUGUAGAUGAUUUGUUAGUAUUCUCAAAAUCAUACAAAGAGCAUAUAGCCCAUCUUGAAGUGUUCUUUCGAAAGGUAGAACAAAAUGGACUCAUACUACACAAAAAGAAGAUGGAAAUUUGCAAAGAAAAAAUAAAUUUCCUUGGUCAUGAAAUAGGAGAAGGAAAGAUAUAUCUACAAGAACAUAUUGCAAAGAAAAUAUUAGAGUUUCCUGAUAAUAUGAGUGAUAAAAAGGUUUUACAGCAGUUCUUAGGAAUUGUAAACUGUGCGCGAAACUAUAUAGACAACUUAGCAAAGUUAGCAGGACCUUUAUAUGCUAAAUUAAGGAAAAAUGGUCAAAAAUACUUCAAUUCCGAAGAUAUAAAAUUAGUAAAGGCCAUCAAGGAAAAGGUCAAGAAUUUAAAACCACUAGAAUUGCCUCUAGAAGACAAUUAUUUUAUAAUUGAAACAGAUGCAUCUAAGGUAGGAUGGGGUGCGAUACUAAAACAAAAGCCCAAUAAAUACUCUCCAAAGGCAGAUGAGAAAAUAUGCAGAUAUGCUUCGGGAAGUUACAAAUUAAAGACGGUAAAUAAUAUUGAUAGGGAAAUCCUUGCAGUUGUAAAUGCAAUAAAUGCAUUUAGGCUAUAUCUAGGAUUCAAAAAAUUUACAGUGCGAACAGAUUGUGAAGCUAUAUGUCGAUAUUACAAUAAAAUUAAUAGUAAGAAAAGCUCAACUAGAAGAUGGGUCUUAUUUGUAGACACCAUAGCUGGGAAUGGUUAUAAAGUUAUUUUUGAGCAUAUUAAGGGGAAGGAUAAUACCUUACCUGACAUAUUUUCUCGUGCAUCAAAUUUGCAGAAAUGA
rnacentral:rRNA from 1 species